CUCAGUCUGAGGAAACUUGCACACACUCCUGUACUUUUGUUUUUGGUUUCCAUCUGAAAUCAAACUGAGGCCUAAAAUACUCACCUUCCUCUGAGGUCUUCUCUUUUCAAGCAUGACAUUUGCACCAGACCUCUGCUUUACAAUUCAGCUUUUCUUCACUCAACUUUUGUUCUCCAGCAUUUCCCCAAGUUUUCAAGUUAUCUUCUUCUGAGAAACAAGCACACUUCUUUAUAAUGUACCUGCUACAACAGCCAUGUAUGAAGAAGUAAAGCCAGGCCAAAGGAACUUACUUGCAUCUAUGGCUGAUUACAUCUACAGUCAACAAAGGAG